UACGUAGGGUGCAAGCGUUGUCCGGAAUUAUUGGGCGUAAAGAGCUCGUAGGCGGUCUGUCGCGUCGAAUGUGAAAACCCGGGGCUCAACCCCGGGCCUGCAUUCGAUACGGGCAGACUAGAGUGCUGUAGGGGAGACUGGAAUUCCUGGUGUAGCGGUGAAAUGCGCAGAUAUCAGGAGGAACACCGGUGGCGAAGGCGGGUCUCUGGGCCGAUACUGACGCUGAGGAGCGAAAGCGUGGGGAGCGAACAGG
rnacentral:rRNA from 1 species